AUGCAAGUCGAACGCUGAAGCCCCAGCUUGCUNGGGUGGAUGAGUGCGUACGAGUGAGUAACACGUGAGUAACCAUCCCUUUGACUCUGGGAUAAGCCUGGGAAACCGGGUUUAAUACCGGAUCAGACCGGUCACGGCAUGGUGGCCGGUGGAAAGAUUUAUCUGUCUUGGAUGGACUCGCGGCCUAUCAGCUGGUUGGUGGGGUAAUGGCCCACCAAUGCGACGACGUGUUGCCGGCCUGAGAGGGUGACCGGCCACACUGAGUCUGAGACACGGCCCCGACUCGUACGGGAGGCCGCAGUGGGGAAUCUUGCUCAAUGGGUGCAAGCCUGAUGCAGAGACCCCGCGUGAGGGAUGACGGCCUUCGGGUUGUAAACCUCUUUCAGUAGGGAAGAAGCGAAAGUGACGGUACCUGCAGAAGAAGCGCCGGCUAAAUAUGUGCCAGCAGCCGCGGUAAUACGUAGGGCGCGAGCGUUAUCUGGAAUUAUUGGGCGUAAAGAGCUCGUAGGCGGUUUGUCGCGUUUGCCGUGAAAGUCCGGGGCUUAACCCCGGAUAUGCGGUGGGUACGGGCAGACUGGAGUGCAGUAGGGGAGACUGGAAUUCCUGGUGUAGCGGUGAAAUGCGCAGAUAUCAGGAGGAACACCGAUGGCGAAGGCAGGUCUCUGGGCUGUUACUGACGCUGAGGAGCGAAAGCAUGGGGAGCGAACAGGAUUAGAUACCCUGGUAGUCCAUGCCGUAAACGUUGGGCACUAGGUGUGGGGGCCAUUCCACGGUUUCCGCGCCGCAGCUAACGCAUUAAGUGCCCCGCCUGGGGAGUACGGCCGCAAGGCUAAAACUCAAAGGAAUUGACGGGGGCCCGCACAAGCGGCGGAGCAUGCGGAUUAAUUCGAUGCAACGCGAAGAACCUUA
rnacentral:rRNA from 1 species